UUGACCUCGGAUCAGGUAGGGAUACCCGCUGAACUUAAGCAUAUCAAUAAGCGGAGGAAAAGAAACCAACAGGGAUUGCCUCAGUAACGGCGAGUGAAGCGGCAACAGCUCAAAUUUGAAAUCUGGCUCCUUCGGGGUCCGAAUUGUAAUUUGUAGAGAGUGCUUCGGGCGAGACCUCGGUCUAAGUCCAUUGGAACAUGGUGUCAUAGAGGGUGAGAAUCCCGUAUGCGACCGUGGCUCGAGCCCAUGUGAAGCCUCUUCGACGAGUCGAGUUGUUUGGGAAUGCAGCUCAAAAUGGGUGGUAAAUUUCAUCUAAAGCUAAAUACUGGCUGGAGACCGAUAGCGCACAAGUAGAGUGAUCGAAAGAUGAAAAGCACUUUGGAAAGAGAGUCAAACAGUACGUGAAAUUGUUGAAAGGGAAGCGCUUGCAACCAGACCUGCCCGUAGGCGAUCCGCCGCUGUUCUCAGCGGUGUACUCGCUCUGCGAUCAGGCCAGCAUCGGUUUCGGCGGUCGGAUAAAGGCCUUGGGAAUGUAGCUUCCCCUCGGGGGAGUCUUAUAGCCCUCGGUGUAAUGCGGCCAGCUGGGACCGAGGACCGCGCUUCGGCUAGGAUGCUGGCGUAAUGGUUGUAAGCGACCCGUCUUGAAACACGGACCAAGGAGUCUAACAUCUAUGCGAGUGUUUGGGUGUCAAACCCAUACGCGAAAUGAAAGUGAACGGAGGUGAGAACCCUCAAGGGCGCAUCAUCGACCGAUCCAGAUGUCUUCGGAUGGAUUUGAGUAUGAGCAUAGCUGUUGGGACCCGAAAGAUGGUGAACUAUGCCUGAAUAGGGUGAAGCCAGAGGAAACUCUGGUGGAGGCUCGCAGCGGUUCUGACGUGCAAAUCGAUCGUCAAAU
rnacentral:rRNA from 1 species